GAUCGCGCAGCGUUAUAUGCACGCACUUCGGAUGAAAGUCAGCGUGAGAAGCGAGCAGAGAAAGCAGAGACGUCCUGCGAGAGAGAAGGGAGACGAGCGAGGCUGGAUGAGGAGGGGAGAAGAGAGAAGGACAAUGAGGGGAAAAGUUAUGGGCGGACAGGAGCCUGGAGCUCUCCUUUCCCUUUAACAUCUAUUUCCUUACCAUUCUGACAGUCUCUCAUCUCCUCUUCAUUUCAUCGUCUGGAGAUGGAUGGAAAGCCUCAGCACAACUCAAAGCGGCUCCAGUCUACAUUCCCCGAAGUGUGACAACAUCAUGAAGAGUUUUCCAGUCUUUGUACGAGCAGAAGGCCAGAUGACAAUCUGCACACUGAAGUGGGGGAAAAAAAAAAAUUUACCAAGCCAUAAUCUUCUGAAAGGAAAGCAAAUGAUACUGUUCUAUAUUUCUUUGCAGCCUGAUGAAACAUACCAAUUUGCAAAACUAACAAUGCAUAGUUGAUGUAAAAAAACUUGAUGACU